rnacentral:sRNA from 1 species
AGCGUAUAAUUUCUGGUAGUGGGGACCUGCGUUCGCGCUCGUCCCCU